GCUUUCAUACAUUUAAUUCCCUCAUUCUUUAGGUUGUUUUGAGAAUUUAUAAUUCCAAACUGUUUUAAGCACUGGGUGGUAAAUUAGGUGAAGUUCCUGCUCUUAUGGAACUUAUAUUCUCAUCUGGGCAUAAAAUAAAUAAGAAAACCAAUGAAGAAAAUAAUCAUAGAAAAUAGUAAGGAAUGUGAAGGAAGUAUAGGGUGAUGUGACAGAGAACAGCAGGGAUUGACAUAGAGCAGUCAGGCUAGACCUGUCUGAGAAGAUUACAGCAAUGGUGAGACCUAAAAGUUGAGAAGGAGGCAGACAGGCUAAGACUUGUAAAAGGAGCAUUCCUGGUCCACGAAAGAGCAAGUGCAAAGGCCCUGAGGCAGGGAUAAGUGUGGCCGAGCGGAGGAGGAGAAAGGAUGCAAUUGAAGCUGAAGCGCAGUGUGUGUGGUGAAAGAGCGGGGCCUUGGAUGGAGUGAUUUGGAGAGGUCAGCAAGGGUCAGUAGGGCAAUUUAGGAUAAGAAAAGGAACUUGAACUUUAUCCUAGUGGUAACAGGGAGCCAUAAAAAGGGGAAGCAGGUCCAGGUUACACUUUUCAGUGACUCUGAUUGGCAUGGGGAGAAUGGGUGAGAGACUCAAGAGUCAUCAUAAGAACAGGAAGGAGCACUCCAGCAGCCCUGGGCCAGGGCAGUCUGAUGGGUGUCUUGUUUCAUUCUCCUGCAGCCACAGUAGUUUUCUUUCCAGUUUUUUUUUUUAACUCACUAAGCUCUUUCUUGACUUUCAUCGGGAAUACUAUUUCAGCCCCUCUUUCUCUAACUAACUCCCCAACUCAGUUUUAGGCAUUUUUAUUCAACAUCUUUAUAUCUGGGAAGAUUUCUCUGAACAAGUCCAGGGGAGUGCUCUCUGUUAAACACUCAUGGCCCCCAGUUCUUCCUCUUAGUAGCACCC
rnacentral:lncRNA from 1 species